rnacentral:rRNA from 14 species
GACGGGGGGAAAAUCAGUGGCGAAGGCGAAUCCCUGGCCAAAGACUGACGCUCAUGUGCGAAAGUGUGGGUAGCGAACAGGAUUAGAUACCCUGGUAGUCCACACCGUAAACGCUGUCUACUAGCUGUGUAUGCCUUUAAGGCGUGCGUAGCGAAGCUAACGCGCUAAGUAGACCGCCUGGGGAGUACGGCCGCAAGGUUAAAACUCAAAUGAAUUGACGGGGGCCCGCACAAG